AGUGAACGCUGGAGGCGUGCCUAAUACAUGCAAGUCGAAGGCAGUGGCGCAAGGGUGAGUAAUAUAUAGCUAAUCUGUUCCUUGCUGGAGGACAACAGUAAGAUAUGACUGCUAAUAAUCGAUAGCAAGGGAUUAGACUAUAUCGUACCAGCUAGUCGGUGGGGUAACGGCCUACCGAGGCUAUGACGCGUAACUGGUCUGAGAGAAUGGUCAGUCACAGUGGAACUGAGACACGGUACAAACUCCUUCGGGAGGGAGCAGUAGGGAAUAUUGCGCGAUGGGGGAAACCCUGACGAAGCAACGCCGCGGGGAGGAUUACACUUUUCAGAGCGAAAACGCCUUUUGUUAGGGAAGCGGUACCUAACGAAUAAGCACCGGCUAACUCCGUGCCAGCAGCCGCGGUAAUUC
rnacentral:rRNA from 1 species